rnacentral:rRNA from 1 species
UGGGGAAUAUUGGACAAUGGGCGCAAGCCUGAUCCAGCCAUGCCGCGUGUGUGAAGAAGGCCUUUUGGUUGUAAAGCACUUUAAGCGAGGAGGAGGCUACUGAGAUUAAUACUCUUGGAUAGUGGACGUUACUCGCAGAAUAAGCACCGGCUAACUCUGUGCCAGCAGCCGCGGUAAUACAGAGGGUGCGAGCGUUAAUCGGAUUUACUGGGCGUAAAGCGUGCGUAGGCGGCUUCUUAAGUCGGAUGUGAAAUCCCUGAGCUUAACUUAGGAAUUGCAUUCGAUACUGGGAAGCUAGAGUAUGGGAGAGGAUGGUAGAAUUCCAGGUGUAGCGGUGAAAUGCGUAGGGAUCUGGGGGAAUACCGAUGGCGAAGGCAGCCAUCUGGCCUAAUACUGACGAUGAGGUACGAAAGCAUGGGGAGCAAACAGG